GACGAACGCUGGCGGCGUGCCUAAUACAUGCAAGUUGAGCGCUGAAGGUUGGUACUUGUACCAACUGGAUGAGCAGCGAACGGGUGAGUAACGCGUGGGGAAUCUGCCUUUGAGCGGGGGACAACAUUUGGAAACGAAUGCUAAUACCGCAUAAAAACUUUAAACACAAGUUUUAAGUUUGAAAGAUGCAAUUGCAUCACUCAAAGAUGAUCCCGCGUUGUAUUAGCUAGUUGGUGAGGUAAAGGCUCACCAAGGCGAUGAUACAUAGCCGACCUGAGAGGGUGAGCGGCCACAUUGGGACUGAGACACGGCCCAAACUCCUACGGGAGGCAGCAGUAGGGAAUCUUCGGCAAUGGACGAAAGUCUGACCGAGCAACGCCGCGGGAGUGAAGAAGGUUUUCGGAUCGUAAAACUCUGUUGGUAGAGAAGAACGUUGGUGAGAGUGGAAAGCUCAUCAAGUGACGGUAACUACCCAGAAAGGGACGGCUAACUACGUG
rnacentral:rRNA from 1 species